ACGCACGCUGGCGGCGUGCUUAACACAUGCAAGUCGAACGGAAAGGCCCUGCUUUUGUGGGGUGCUCGAGUGGCGAACGGGUGAGUAACACGUGAGUAACCUGCCCUUGACUUUGGGAUAACUUCAGGAAACUGGGGCUAAUACCGGAUAGGAGCUCCUGCUGCAUGGUGGGGGUUGGAAAGUUUCGGCGGUUGGGGAUGGACUCGCGGCUUAUCAGCUUGUUGGUGGGGUAGUGACUUACCAAGGCUUUGACGGGUAGCCGGCCUGAGAGGGUGACCGGCCACAUUGGGACUGAGAUACGGCCCAGACUCCUACGGGAGGCAGCAGUGGGGAAUAUUGCACAAUGGGCGGAAGCCUGAUGCAGCAACGCCGCGUGCGGGAUGACGGCCUUCGGGUUGUAAACCGCUUUCGCCUGUGACGAAGCGUGAGUGACGGUAAUGGGUAAAGAAGCACCGGCUAACUACGUG
rnacentral:rRNA from 1 species